rnacentral:rRNA from 1 species
UACGUAGGUGACUAGCGUUGUCCGGAUUUACUGGGCGUAAAGAGCGCGCAGGCGGUCGUUCAAGUCGAGUGUGAAAGCCCCCGGCUCAACUGGGGAGGGUCACUUGAUACUGAUCGACUCGAAGGCAGGAGAGGGAAGCGGAAUUCCCGGUGUAGUGGUGAAAUGCGUAGAUAUCGGGAGGAACACCAGUGGCGAAAGCGGCUUCCUGGCCUGUUCUUGACGCUGAGGCGCGAAAGCUAGGGGAGCAACGGG